rnacentral:rRNA from 1 species
AACGAACGCUGGCGGCAGGCUUAACACAUGCAAGUCGAGCGGCAGCGCGUCCGACCACCCUCGGGUGGUCGGAUGGCGGCGAGCGGCGGACGGGUGAGGAAUGCAUCGGAAUCUGCCUCGUUGUGGGGGAUAACGUAGGGAAACUUACGCUAAUACCGCAUACGACCUACGGGUGAAAGUGGGGGACCUUCGGGCCUCACGCGAUGAGAUGAGCCGAUGCCGGAUUAGCUAGUUGGCGGGGUAAAGGCCCACCAAGGCGACGAUCCGUAGCUGGUCUGAGAGGAUGAUCAGCCACACUGGAACUGAGACACGGUCCAGACUCCUACGGGAGGCAGCAGUGGGGAAUAUUGGACAAUGGGGGCAACCCUGAUCCAGCCAUGCCGCGUGUGUGAAGAAGACCUCGGUUGUAAG